rnacentral:rRNA from 1 species
AGCGUGCGCAGGCGGUUAUGUAAGACAGAUGUGAAAUACCCCGGGCGUCAACCUGGGAACUGCAUUUGUGACUGCAUGGCUAGAGUACGGUAGAGGGGGAUGGAAUUCCGCGUGUAGCAGUGAAAUGCGUAGAUAUGCGGAGGAACACCGAUGGCGAAGGCAAUCCCCUGGACCUGUACUGACGCUCAUGCACGAAAGCGUGGGGAGCAAACAGGAUUAGAUACCCUGGU